UCAGGAUGAACGCUAGCUACAGGCUUAACACAUGCAAGUCGAGGGGCAGCAUGAAGUUUGCUUGCAAACUUGAUGGCGACCGGCGCACGGGUGAGUAACGCGUAUCCAACCUUCCCCUUAGUAGAGGAUAGCCCGGCGAAAGUCGGAUUAAUACUCUAUGUUGUAUUUUUGAGGACAUCUGACGAAUACCAAAGAUUUAUCGCUAAGGGAUGGGGAUGCGUCUGAUUAGCUUGUUGGCGGGGUAACGGCCCACCAAGGCGACGAUCAGUAGGGGUUCUGAGAGGAAGGUCCCCCCACAUUGGUACUGAGACACGGACCAAACUCCUACGGGAGGCAGCAGUGAGGAAUAUUGGUCAAUGGGCGAGAGCCUGAACCAGCCAAGUAGCGUGCAGGAAGACUGCCCCCUAUGGGUUGCAAACUGCUUUUAUCAGGGAAUAAAGUGCGGCACGUGUGCUGUUUUGUAUGUACCUGAUGAAUAAGGACCGGCUAAUUCCGUGCCAGCAGCAGC
rnacentral:rRNA from 1 species